rnacentral:rRNA from 1 species
GGACUACUGGGGUUUCUAAUCCUGUUUGCUCCCCACGCUUUCGCGUCUCAGCGUCAGUUCCGGGCCAGUGAGCCGCCUUCGCCACUGGUGUUCUUGCGAAUAUCUACGAAUUUCACCUCUACACUCGCAAUUCCACUCACCUCUCCCGGACUCAAGGUCUCCAGUAUCAAAGGCAGUUCCAAGGUUGAGCCUUGGCAUUUCACCCCUGACUUAAAGACCCGCCUACACGCGCUUUACGCCCAGUAAUUCCGAACAACGCUAGCCCCCUUCGUAUUACCGCGGCGGCUGGCAC